GCUUAUUUGGCAGCGAGAAGGAAGACGAAGCUUUCGCAGACUCUUCUUCUCCCCCGUCGCGCUCCAAAUUUGGGUGCUUCCAGAGGUGGGAGUUUGGGUUCUGCUGUAAUCGCUCGGAUUGUCUCCAAAGAUUGCGCCUUUCUAGGGUUUUCGAGGAUUUGGGCCUGCUUUUUGAUCCAUUGCUGUCGGAUUAUUUUUUGGAUAAUAUGUCCUCUGGCGCCGUAGGAGCGGCGGAUCCGGACGGGUUGCCGCCGCUCCGCUGGGAUCCGGCAGUGGAGGAGGAGGGGAUUGACCAUUUCGACCGGUUGCCGGACUCGGUGUUGCUUGUGAUCUUUAACCGGAUUGGCGAUGUCAAGACCUUGGGGCGGUGCUGCGCCGUGUACCGGCGCUUCCACGACCUAGUCCCCCUCGUCGAUGACGUCGUUGUCCGCGUCGACUGCGUCAUCUCAGACGACCCCUCCCCCGCGACGCCCGGCGGCGGUUUUGACAAGCCCCACAGCGUCUUCUCCCACUUUGCUCGCUUCGUCCUCGGCGGCCUCGUCAAGCCCCUUGAGGCUCUCUGUCAAAUGCUCUCCCCCGCCUCCUGCGCGGAUGCCGUCGCCAGGAAGUCAGGGUUGUUUUCGUCUUCGUCUCCCGAGGUCUCUCACCAUUCCCCGACUGAGGUCCUGAAGAACUUUAAGGAAAUCCGACGCCUCCGCAUCGAGCUACCCUACGGCGAGCUCGGCGUCGACGACGGCGUCCUCCUGAAGUGGAAGGCCGACUUUGGAUGCACCCUCGAAAGCUGCGUUAUCCUCGGUGCCUCCUCCGUAGUCUCCUCGUGCUCGAUGUCCGCCAAAUCCUCAGAACCUGACCCAAAUCCUAGUUUCCAGGACGCUUGUGGUGGUGAUGAUUGCGGGAACAUCCCGGAAUCGUUCUACGCCGAUGGGAGCUUGAAACGCAGGGUCGUGUGGACUAUCAGCUCACUGAUUGCAGCUUCCGCGCGGCAUUACCUUCUCCAUCCGAUCGUGGCCGACAACGAGACCAUAGAGAGAUUAGAUCUGACAGAUGCUGAUGGGCAGGGGUUGCUGACACUGGACCGCCGGCAGCUACAAGAACUACGAACGAAGCCAGUGAUGUCUUCCGGGAGCUCACACCGGACGCUUCUGCCAGCACUAAACAUGCGCCUGUGGUAUGCACACCAGCUGGAGUUGCCCGGUGAGAUGGCGUUGAAGGGUGCAACAUUGUUGGCAAUCAGACCAAGUGAGGAGCGGAUGGGGGAGGCGGUCGGUGGUGUUGUUGGUCAAUCCAUCGGUUUCUCUGAUGGUUGCUGGGUCUCAGAUACAUUUGAAGAGCCAUACCGGACGGCAAUUAGGAUGCUAAUGAAAAGGAAGACUCACAGCCUUGAGAUGAAUUCCUUCUGAUUCUGAAAUAACUGCAACAUAAUUCAGCCUUUAGAGGUUUAUGGAUUUUGAUGCCCCAUAGAGGACGGAUAUUAAAUAUGUUAAAGGCAACCGGAGAAUAGUUUGGACCCUUCAUAUGAAGUGAUACUUGUUAAUUCAUCUUCUAAUCCAGUGACCAUACAACACAAAUAUCGAGCAGCAAAGCCAGAUUUCUUCAUGGCACAUGAGUAGCUUCCCUGUGAGUGAACAAAGACCACACUGAAAGGGCCUUCAUCUGCUUAAAUGGUGUCUUAUCCACAAGCAAGCAAUAAAGAUGGAUUGUUUACCAUUACAUAACCAGGUUUCACUCUGCAAUCACACAAUGAUAUAACUGUCUCACACAUGAUAUGAAUGCAAUUGAUGAGAACAAAGAACAAAACAAUUCUGAUUUUGACCACAGUUCUACUGAGAGUCCUUGCUGCAAACAAUAUUCCAGGAAAGGAAGCCAACAACUCCAUCAAUUAUGUGCUGUCUAAAUGUAUCAACUAAUCAGCUGACAUAUUUUACCAACAUGAAGAGUCAAGGUAGAUGGUGAAAGCGAAGAAUGGGAACCCAGAUCAAGGUUUUUAGCUUCUAAAUUGUAGCCCUAACAUUAAACAUGGUGCUUCCUGUUGUCACUGGUCUCGAAAUGUAAAGGGUAUUAGUA